rnacentral:rRNA from 1 species
UACGAAGGGGGCUAGCGUUGCUCGGAAUCACUGGGCGUAAAGGGUGCGUAGGCGGGUCUUUAAGUCAGGGGUGAAAUCCUGGAGCUCAACUCCAGAACUGCCUUCGAUACUGGAAGACUUGAGUCCGGGAGAGGUGAGUGGAACUGCGAGUGUAGAGGUGAAAUUCGUAGAUAUUCGCAAGAACACCAGUGGCGAAGGCGGCUCACUGGCCCGGUACUAACGCUGAGGUGCGAAAGCGUGGGGAGCAAACAGG